UCUGAAGUUGUGCAACACCUUGGGCAAACACUUCCUGAAACGGAGACAAGCAUGAACCUCCGAGUUUCGUUCUGUCUCACUUGAGAGAAGGCAGGGACAGACUGAGCAGCACACUUGUCUGUUUGUGGGAGAAAGGCAGACACCAAGGCUCCUGGGAUCACCCAGCAUGUUGCAAGGGCUUCUUCUCACUGCCACUUUCCUCCUUUCUUCAUUGCCAGCAAAUGCUGUAAAAGAACUCCCUGAAGUGAAAAAGUAUGAAGUGGUUUUUCCCAGAAGACUUCAUCCACUACAUAAAAGAGAGAUCAAGCAGCCAGGUCAAGAGGAAAAAUUUGAAACUGAGUUGAAGUAUGAAAUGACAGUGAAUGGAAAAAUCGCAGUGCUUUAUUUGAAAAAAAACAAGGAUCUCCUUGCACCAGGCUACACGGAAACACAUUAUAAUUCCAGUGGAAAGGAGGUCACCACAAGCCCACAGAUCAUGGAUAACUGUUACUACCAAGGACACAUCAUUAAUGAAACGGUUUCCGAUGCUAGCAUCAGCACGUGUAGGGGUCUCAGGGGUUACUUCAGUCAGGGAGAGCAAAGGUACUUCAUUGAACCUUUAAGCCCCACAGCUCAGGAUGAACAGGAACACGCACUCUUCAAGGAUGAGCCCCAGGAACAGCAGACUAACAGUGACUGUGGGAUGGAUGACGUGUUAUGGGCACAUGGAUUUCAUCGGAAUAUGGUCCCGCCUGACUCCAGUCUGAAUUCCAAAGACUGGAAAAGUUGGGAACGUAAGAAAUACGUAGAAUAUUAUUUGGUCCUGGAUAAUGGUGAGUUUAUAAAGUAUCAUCAAGAUGCAGAGGAAAUAAGAAAGAGGGUGUUUGAGAUGGUCAAUUACAUCAACAUGCUUUAUAAAAAGCUCAAUACCCAUGUGGCCUUAAUUGGGAUGGAAAUCUGGAAUGACAAGGAUAAGAUACAUAUAACCUCAAAUGCAAGCUCCACCUUGGAAAAUUUUUCUCAGUGGAGAGGGAAUGUCCUCCUAAGAAGAAAGCCUCAUGAUGUUGCUCAGCUAAUCACGGCAAAAGGAUUUUCUGGAACAACUGUGGGCCUUGCUUUCAUGUCUACAAUGUGCUCUCCUUAUCAUUCUGUUGGCCUUAUUCAGGACCACAGUAACAACGGGCUUAGAGUUGCAGGGACCAUGGCCCAUGAAAUGGGCCAUAACUUUGGAAUGUUUCACGACACCGAUAAUUGCCAGUGUUCUUCUGCCGUGUGUGUGAUGGACAGGGCACUAAGAUUCAAUCUACCUAAGGACUUCAGUUCCUGCAGCCGUGACAGCUAUGCCAAAUUCUUUGGGGAUAAACUGUCAAACUGCGUUUUGAAUGCUCCGUUGCCUACAGAUAUCAUAUCCACCCCGACCUGUGGGAACCAGCUGAUAGAAAUGGGAGAAGACUGUGAUUGUGGGACCCCGGAGGAAUGUACCAACAUUUGCUGUGACGCAAAGACAUGUAAAAGCAAAGUAAAUUUUCAAUGUGCCGUUGGAGAAUGCUGUGAAAAAUGCCAGUUUAAAAAGGCCGGUGCUGUGUGCAGACCAGCAAAAGAUGAGUGUGACUUGGCUGAAAUGUGUGAUGGCAAAUCCGGGCUUUGCCCUAGUGAUCGAUUCCAGGUCAAUGGUCUCCCUUGCCAAGACGGGAAGGGCUACUGCUUGAAUGGGACAUGCCCCACCCUGCAGGAGCAGUGCACUGAGAUGUGGGGACCAGGAACCAAAGUUGCUGAUAAGUCAUGUUUUAGCUGGAAUGAAGGUGGGUCAAAGUACGGGUACUGUCGAAAAGUGGAUGACACGCGUAUUCCCUGUAAAGCAAAUGAUGUUAUGUGUGGGAAGUUGUUCUGUCAAGGCGGGUCGGAAUAUCUGCCCUGGAGAGGACGUAUAGUAACUUUCCUGACAUGUAAAGCAUUUGAACCUGAAGUCAUAGGUGAAGAAGUAGGCAUGGUAGCCAAUGGCACCAAGUGUGGAAAUAAGAAGGUUUGCAUUAAUGCAGAAUGUGUGGACAUGGAAAGAGUUUACAAAUCAGCCAAUUGCUCCUAUAAGUGCAAAGGACACGCAGUGUGUGACCACGAGCUCCAGUGUCAGUGUAAAGAAGGAUGGGCCCCUCCCAACUGCGAUGAUGUCUCCGCGGUUUUCAGUAGACUUCUCCAUUGUGGUUGGGGUGCUGUUCCCUGUGGCCAUCAUAUUGGUGGUGGUUGCUAUAGUAAUUCGAUACAAGAGCCCGAGAGGAAAGCAGAAGAAAGUCCUGAGGCCACUGUCUGCCAUUGGCAUCGGGCCACAUAGACAGAAGAGGAAACUGCAGACGGAGAAGGCUGUUCAACCCCAGGAGCUAAUUACAAAGCCAGAUUUUCCACCACCUCCAAUUCCUACAUCUGUGUCAUCCUCUUUCCUCCAUAAAGACACAAAAGGACUUUCCCCCACGGUUUUCCAGGAUAAGCUGAUGUCUACACCUAAGGUCUCCAAUCCAAAAGUCUGAAGGAACCGCCAAGCAAGGAUUGUUGGGUAAAUGACUGGACAAUCUGGAUAGAAGAGACAUAUACUCGCUUUCUCAUUAUUAUUUGCUCUUGAGCCACAUGAAAGUUACGAUUUUGUGAUUCAUGUUCUACAUUGAAGAUAUUAAACAAAACUUUGAAGAGAGACAUA